AGAGUUUGAUCAUGGCUCAGAAUCAACGCUGGCGGCGCGCUUAACACAUGCAAGUCGAACGGGAAAGUGGAGCAAUCCAUGAGUACAGUGGCGUACGGGUGAGUAACACGUGGGUAUCUAACUCUUAGUGGGGAAUAACCCAGGGAAACCGGGGAUAAUACCGCAUAAGCUCGAGAGAGGAAAGCAGCAAUGCGCUGAGAGAGGAGUCCGCGGCCGAUUAGCUAGUUGGCAGGGUAAAAGCCUACCAAGGCAGAGAUCGGUAGCCGGCCUGAGAGGGCACACGGCCACACUGGCACUGAAACACGGGCCAGACUCCUACGGGAGGCAGCAGUGGGGAAUCUUGCACAAUGGGGGCAACCCUGAUGCAGCGACGCCGCGUGAGCGAUGAAGCCCUUCGGGGUGUAAAGCUCUUUCGGCAGGGAAGAUUAUGACGGUACCUGCAGAAGCAGCUGCGGCUAACUACGUGCCAGUAGCCGCGGUAAUACGUAGGCAGCGAGCGUUGUUCGGAGUUACUGGGCGUAAAGGGUGUGUAGGCGGUUGUUUAAGUUUGGUGUGAAAUCUCCCGGCUCAACUGGGAGGGUGCGCCGAAUACUGAAUGACUUCGAGUGCGGGAGAGGAGAGUGGAAUUCCUGGUGUAGCGGUGAAAUGCGUAGAUAUCAGGAGGAACACCGGUGGUGUAGACGGCUCUCUGGACCGUAACUGACGCUGAGACACGAAAGCGUGGGUAGCAAACAGGAUUAGAUACCCUAGUAGUCC
rnacentral:rRNA from 1 species